rnacentral:rRNA from 1 species
CCCUUAGAUGUUCUGGGCCGCACGCGGGCUACACUGAGUAAUUCAAUGGGUAAGGGAACGCUAGAGCAUUACCUAAUCUUGAAAUUUGCUCGUGAUGGGGAUCGACGGUUGCAAUUUUCCGUCGUGAACGAGGAAUACCUUGUAGGCGCAUGUCAUCAUCAUGCGCCGAAUACGUCCCUGCCCUUUGUACACACCGCCCGUCGCUCCUACCGAUUGAGUGAUCCGGUGAGGCUCUGGGACCUGGACGGAAAGAGCGUUUCGCUUGUUCUGUUUGGGAAACUUGGUCGAACCUUAUCAUUUAGAGGAAGGAGAAGUCGUAACA